rnacentral:lncRNA from 1 species
GUGAGAACUGCCCAGGAAACUCUGCAGGGACAUCUGAGCAUAAGUGAGCUGAUGCUUUUAUGUCCUACAUUUCAUUGAGAAAGGCUGAAGCCCUGACUGGAGUGUUCUAUACUUCUGCUUGGUCUCUAGUCUUUGCUCCAUUCUGAAGGUGCAUGCAGACCAUCCCCUCACAUAGGAGGCUAGGAUUUCAACACAUCGGGAUCAGGAGGACACAAAUAUCCCAGAGGGGUGAUGAUAUGCCCUGGAAGUAGAUAGCAGUGAUUGACAUUCAUGGAUAGCAGAAGAGAAGCCACCUCAGUAUGCUUUUAAGAGGCGUGAAGAGGGUUAUUUGUGUGGCCAGAUGCCUAAAGAUGACAAGAAAGAACAAGACUGAUGGGGAGAUGCUGGGAAAGAGCUUCCUGGCUCUGAUAAACUUACAGCCCAUCACCAAGGGAGCUAAGGCAGAAACUCAAGUGAGAACCCUGAAGCUGGGAACUGAAGCAGAGACAGGCCACAGAGGAAAGCUGUUUCCUGGCUGUCUCAGCCUGCUUUCUCAUACAAUCCAGGACCACCUGCCAGGGAUGGCACUGCCCACAAUCAUUAAUCAAGACAAUGCCUCACAGACAUGCCCAGUGGACAGUCUGAUGGUGGCAGUUCCUCAAUGGAGAUUCCUUCUUCCCAG